GUGUGUUUGUGUGGCAGUGGAGGCCGCAGGGUUUAGUGGGCUUCAGGUGUGUGGACACAGGGGUACCAGUGGACUCUGAGCUCAUAAGACAGUGUGUAAUUGAAGUGCUGGCUGAAACCGCUGCAGUAAUGCUGGGACAGAGAGAGAUGCAGAUAGCGCCCGAUGCCCCUGUCCAAACACAGCUGGUGUCUACAGUACCAACACCAGCAUCCACUCCUGAGCCAGACUCGACAGAGCUGCUGUCAGAAACCCUGAUCUUUUCAAGCUUUCUUUCAAUCUUUCUUCAGCUUUUUCUUCCAAUGAAAACCAUCAGGGAUCUGCUUUAUCAGGUCUGACAGUCCAGAUAGGUUUCCUGUGGGCACACCGGCUACCA